rnacentral:rRNA from 1 species
UACGAAGGGGGCUAGCGUUGCUCGGAAUUACUGGGCGUAAAGCGCACGUAGGCGGCUUUCUAAGUCGGGGGUGAAAUCCUGGAGCUCAACUCCAGAACUGCCUUCGAUACUGGCGAUCUUCGAGUCCGGGAGAGGUGAGUGGAACUCCGAGUGUAGAGGUGAAAUUCGUAGAUAUUCGGAAGAACACCAGUGGCGAAGGCGGCUCACUGGCCCGGUACUGACGCUGAGGUGCGAAAGCGUGGGGAGCAAACAGG